rnacentral:lncRNA from 1 species
UUUUAUUUAGAAAAUGGCAGGAAAAAUUACUUUGGAUAGUUCAUAGAUUUCCCAAACGCUUUCAGAAAAGAUAUUACCAAGAAAGUCGCUUAGAAAUUUCAGGCAAUGAAGUAGCAAAUCUAUUUAACGUUAGAGAUGUGUUAAGCCUUUAAGACUUGUCUAGGUUAAAAUUUAGGGCUGUGCCAACUGUCAGUCCAUCUAGUCAAUAAAUAAAAUCAAAUUCCGGAUACUUUGCCACUUUUUACAUCUUCACUGCAGUGGACUCUGGACUCUCUUAUCGACAGGAAGUCCUCCUUAUAGCUGGUUACAAGCCUUGCUGUUCAGUCAGUUAGUCUUAAGGGAGUUGUCAACACGGUACCGUCAGGAGGCAUGCUCCAGACUGAGGGUAGUUUGAAACAAGAAUUAUUGUGUCAAUUUCUCUGGUUUUUUUCCUUCCCUUUCUUCAACCUUUUUGGAGCCCAUGUUUAAACUAAGCAACUGUGUUGUUAUGUCGUACAGGUAAAUGAUUCUUCCCUUUGUACUUCAUUGUUGGCUUUCAGGGCACCAAUAAGUUUUUACAUAAAUCUUAAAUUUCACUUUUUGAAUUUUCUGUCAUGUUCUUCUUUGUUUUUCUUUCCUUGCUAAGAUUUCGUGUUCAUCGUUAAAAUGGUUUCCUGUUUCAUUUCUUUCUUUCUUUCUUUCUUUCUUUCUUUUUUUUUUUUUUGUGGUUUUCUAAUUUAGCAUUGGAACAUUGGAAGAUGGUUGUAGAAAUCUCUGUGGGAUGACUAACUAUAAAAUCUAUGAAUUUUGACAAUGGCAAGUUUGUGACAUUCCUGGUUUUCCAUGUAGUUAAUGUUUUUUUCCCAUUAUAUAUUGUGUAUUGUGCUAUGUGUAUAUGGACUUGUAUUCAAACCUUGUUUUAGUUGGCUUGCUUUACUACAAUCUAAACUGUGGAUGUUUGUCACUAUCUUGUUGCUGGCCUAUGGAUAAACCUUUAAGUUUUUCUCUGACCCAUUGCAGAGGAGAGAUGCUUCUUAUUUUGAUUAAAUACACUUGGGAUAUGGGUGAGCUCACAGCUAGGGUCUACUGAUAUUUUCCUAUUAAGUAGACCUGAGUGACUAGUUGCCAUUCUAGACGCCAGAAGGUUAAGGUUUGGAUUCCAUUCACAUCAUCAUAUUUGUGAUGGGUUACAGUCUGUGUGCUUUGCUAUUGGUGUGUGGAAUGAGGAAUCCAAAGUCUUUAAAAGGGGAAUCUAGAGAGGUGACUCAAUGGUCAAGAGCUCUUGUUGCUCUCCCAAAGAACCCAGGUUAAAUUCCCAGCACUCACAUGGCUGCCCAUAACUCUCUGUAACUCUAGUUGCAGAAUAUCUGACACUCUCUUUGGAACUCUGUGAGCUAAACAUGCAGAAAAAGUACACAUACUCAUAAAAUAAAAUAAAUCUAAAAGAAUAUAUAUAUCCAAUUUAAGAUUUAAGGUGGAGGUCCUUGUUUUUUUCUUAGUGAUGUCUAUAUUACCCCUAAACUACUCUAGUAUCAGCUUUUUGAGAAGAGACAAUGUCAUAACCUAGUAGUUAUAUGAUAUAAGCUUCCUUGGCCUUUAUUGAUAUGGAAGGAGAUGGCAUCAUAAAUAAUUCUGCUUACUUUCUUAAAGUAGGGUGUGCUGUAUAGAAAACUUACCUGAGAGGCAGGCGGAUUUCUGAGUUUGAGGCCAGCCUGGUCUACAAAGUGAGUUCCAGGAUAGCCAGGGAUACACAGAGAAACUCUGUCUCUAAAAAACAAAAACAAAACAAAAAAACAAAAAAACAAAAAACAAAACUUUCCUGAAACAUUAUGAUGCUGUCAUCUUGGACCUUGUGCUCAAGGGAGUUAACUUUAUUAGUUUGAGGAGUUUUUGGGUUAUUUUUCUUUUUAACUUUCUCUUUUUUAAUUUAAUUUAAUUUAUUAUUUUAUUAGAUUUAAUUCUAUUAUUUUGUGUGUAUGUGUUUUGUCGGCAUGUAUGCCUGUUCACCACAUGGUCAGACUCCAUGCAGGUCCUUUGUAAGAUUGAUAAGUGCUCUUUACCAAUGCUCCAGGUCCGUUUGUGACACCUUUGAUUCAUGGUUGCAUCUUGUUGUUCUUUAUUUCCGAAAAUAUGCAGU